AGCUCCAAUAGCGUAUAUUAAAGUGGCUGCAGUUAAAAAGCUCGUAGUUGGAUCUCAGGGUACCUGGUCUAGCCGGUAUAGCUCACGCUAAAACUGGUCUGACCCCCUAACGUGAGGUAUUCGUCUCCGGGUGCACUUCAUUGGGUGCUCGUGAGGGGCCUCGUAGUUACUGUGAAACAUUAGAGUGUUCAAAGCAGGCUCAUAUGUUCCACUAGCCGUGCAUGGAAUAACUGAAUACGUGACUGGCGCUUUUCAGUUGGUCUCGGCGACUGGUCAAAUGAUUAAGAGGGACUGCCGGGGGCAUUGGUAUGGCGGAGGUGAAAUUCUUGGAUCCUCGCCAGACCAACAAAAGCGAAAGCAUUUGCCAAGAAUGUCCUCA
rnacentral:rRNA from 1 species